UUUUCUUACCUGCUUCAAAAAAUUAUAACUUAUCAACCAUGUUUAUAUUUUUAGUGAUCAAAAAAAAUUUUGCUAAAUAUUUCUGAAAAAAAAUCACAAAGAAUAUCUCUGGUGAAAUAAAAAAAUUUCAAAACGUUCUACGUAAAAUCUGGUAUUGAUUACGGGCGAUGGGAGGGAAUUUGAGCGGCACCCAAUAUUUUUUGCGAUUCGCGUCGACUAUCUUGAACAUUGUAAAACAUUUUGUUGCACAUUAUUGGAUCAAUUGCUUGCUGUAAUCGAGGUGAAGCGGUUAGAUAUAGCGAAUGAAAAGUACUUUUACACCAGGACAUUGCUCCCGCUCAAUUAGCUCGCAAAACGCCCGACAAAUUGAAGAAAUUGCGCAACGUACUAGCAUACGAAAAAUAUUGAAUUGAAGUGUAUACGCUAACCGUUCUUAUGAGAACCGCAAGGUGAAUCACCGCGCUUCUACAUUCGAAUACCAACAGCACGUUAAUGGGUCUUCAAUUUGUUCGUUUUUACAAAUGCACUUAUGUUAACCUCCAGCCCGGCUGGAGUGGACUCUUUGCACAUCAGAAGAGGCAAUAAAUCGAAACGAACUUUUUGAUUGUUGAGACGUGCCUCGGAGCAUUACGGUGAACAGUGCUAACAGCUUCACCACGGGACAGAACAUCGACUGGUUUGUGCGAAAACGAAUGCCCGCUUUCGGUACCAAUCUGGCGUAACGAGCGGAAAAAAUAUCACGCUUUGAUUCACUCUCGAAUCCGCUCAAACGUAUGGCAUAACGAGUGACACCAGAAGACCCCUGUCUGCCCUGUAAGGGAGUAUAUGUGGGGGUGUAAUAGUUAGGGUAAAUGCAACGUCCCCUGAGAAAGGUUGGACUACCUUACGACAUCAGCGGAAACGGAACGAUGCUAUAAAAACAAUAUAAAAGGAGAAAGCGGUGAAACUAGUUCAUUCCAGAAGAUAUCAUUUAAUUCAUGAAGAAGAGUGAUUAUUUAUGGGAUGAACGCGGCAGGAGACCCACGCUCUUUGGUGUAGAUUUGGAGCAGGAUUCGGAUCGCUGGUUCCCAAGAAGCGAAAAGCGUUCUAAAAUGUGUCUCGAUAGAAACGACGAUUUUUAACGUGUGAUGUGGGAGAACAUCGUCGGUCGACAUUUGUCAUGCUGAAUAUCUUGAAAACACGUGUAUACUACGGCACGGCCAAUUGUUACGUGAAACGCCACAUCCUGUUCGAUGACAAACGGGUAGUAAUGGCGAUCAGAGCGGGCUUGAGUAGGGUGUUAAUGGCUUACAGCGCAGUUUGGAACCAACUUACGGUGACAAAAUAAUUUAUUGUUUUUAGGUGGAAAGGUAUUCAGUAUCGCUUCAGCAACAAAAUGUGUGCCAGCUGGUUUAUUCGAAACAUUUAAAUUAAUAUAUUCUAUA